GACGAACGCUGGCGGCGUGCCUAAUACAUGCAAGUCGAACGCAGUGGGGACGGGUGAGUAACACGUUGGUAACCUCCCAUCAGAGGGGAUAACACUUGGAAACAGGUGCUAAACCGAUCCUGAUGGAUGGAACCGCGGUUCAUAAGCUAGUUGGUGAGGUAACGGCUCACCAAGGCCACGAUGCAUAGCCGACAUGAGAGGGUGAGAGGCCACACUGGGACUGAGACACGGCCCAGAAUCCUACGGGAGGCAGAAGUAGGGAAUCUUAGGCAAUGGACGAAAGUCUUACCGAGCAACGCCGCGUGAGUGAAGAAGGUUUUCGGAUCGUAAAACUCUGUUGUUAAAGAAGCGGUAUCUAACCAGAAAGCCACGGCUAACUACGUGCCAGCAGCCGCGGGAAUUC
rnacentral:rRNA from 1 species